CGACCAUAUCACGUUGAAACAUGGUUCUCGUACGAUCACCGAAGUUAAGCAACGUCGAGCCUGGUCAGUACCUAGAUGGGUGACCGCUUGGGAAUACCAGGUACUGUAAG
rnacentral:rRNA from 1 species